AUGUGGGUGGCUGAGAAGGGCACUAGGGUGGGGGUGGCUGGAGGAAUUUUAAGUGCUGUGAUGAAAUGGGCACCCUUCUCUGCCCUCCAUCGCCAAGCCCUACACCUCUGCGAAGACUGUGACACACAAAGUCCUGUGUCAACGGUUGUGCCAGGUAGAGACAAAGUCGCUGGAAUUGCAGCCGCCUGGUACCUCUGGAGCAUCUGGGUCCCUGGAGGGCAGAGCUGUCUUGAACUGCUUGCAAAGGAGUCUGUGCCCGCAGAGAGAGCCUGCUCCAGCCUCUUUGCUACAGCCUUGAGUCUUCUGCUACAGGACAAGAGGAAGAGGAGGGCUCGGACGCUGUGGCACAGAGGGCUGGUUUCCUCCCAAUGUACAUUUCCCUUGCUUCCAUGUCAUACACGUGUUUAUCUGUGCUCGUGGCUGCCCUGAAUAAGAACUGUAUUUCCAGCUUUCUGGAAGCCAGGUGUGGUCAUGUGACUAAGUUGUAGCCAAUAGCCUGUGGGGAGUAGUGAGGUGUGCAACAACUGGCCAGAGCUGUUAAAGGGAAACGCUGUGUUCUUCCUUCUGUGUUCCCCCUUCCUUGGCUGGAAUUGCCUGUGGCAGUGCUCUACUUUUCCUUUUUCUUUUCCUUUUGGUUUUUGUCUCACUCUGUUGCCCAGGCUAGGGUGCAGUGGUGCAAUCUCAGUUCACUGCAACCUCUGCCUCCUGGGCUCAAGCCAUCUUUCCAUCUCAGCCUCCAGAGUGGCUGGAACUACAGCUGCAUGCCACCAUGCCAAGCUAAUAUUAUUAAAUUUUAAAAUAUUUAUUAUUUUGAGAUGGAGUCUCACUCUGUUGCCCAGGCUGGAGUGCAGUGGCACGAUCUUGGCUCACUGCAACCUCUGCCUCCUGGGUUCAAGCGAUUCUUCUGCUUCAGCCUCCUGAGUAGCUGGGAUUACAGACAUGUACCUCCAUACCCAGAUA
rnacentral:lncRNA from 1 species